rnacentral:lncRNA from 11 species
AAAGUAAUUGGCGAAACUGCAGCAAUGGCUGGAAGCGUUUGUCGCAAAUUUUGAGAAAAUAAUUGCAGUGCAUUCGCUAGAACCAAGAAGGCCGGAGGAGUCGGUCUCGGAGAUCCCGCUGCUUCCCCGCGAUGUGCUGCAGGUCCUGACCCAACAGCUGGCGCACUGCGUCUCCCAGGUCUCCCGGCCGGAGGUGGCCGAGGCUGGCCUCCCCCAGGCCCUCUUGCUGGUCAAGUUCUUCAUCAUCAUUUGCAGGAAUCUAGAAAACGUCCAAGCUGAACGGCCCCCAGUUUUCGUCCACGAAGUCGUCAGCUUGUUGUCGGCUUAUUCGAAAAAGCUCAAAAGCCCCCAGUCGUUUCCUUGCAAGAGUCAGCUGGAGAAAGUUGCCCUUUACACGCUGCACCUCUCCGAAUGCCUCUUUGAUCCCUACCAGACCUGGAGGAGACAGCUCAGCGGGGAGAUCAUCAGCAUGAAAGAGAAGAGCAAAUACAAGUUCGCGCCGGCCGUGUUGCCCCAAGAGUUCAACUCCUUUUUCCAAGGUAAGCCCACCUCCUCCAUCCUUUUUGCCUUUGUCUAUCCUUGGGAAAUAUAGUUUUGCAAGGUCAUUUUUAAAAAAUAUUUUUUUAUGGAGUGAAAUUAAUGGGAUUCAGAAUAUAAAAGGGAGAAACAUCUAUAGAUAGCCAAACAGAUGCAUUGC